CAAACUGGCAUGCUGUGAGGCUCAAAUCAUGGCUGUUACUAUUACGUAUCCACCAUUUAGAAAUAAUCGUGAAGCACACAGACGAGUUCUUUGGCAGAGUGCUAUCCGAUAGCACAUGCUAUUAAAUCUCUAAAGUAGCCAUUGGCGACCUAUUAAACUAGGCCAUUACCCGCUUGCCACAUUUAUUCAUUUGCUUGUUCAUUGGGUGCCUAGGCAUGUAUUUAGUGGGUGCCUACUCAGUGUCAUAUGCCUAUGCUAGGCACCAGCAAUACAGAGGUGAUUGAGAUGUGGUCUCUGGCCUUGAAACACUCUCAUGGAGAAAUAAUUACAUUAGAGUGAUAAGGUUAGGAGCAGAAGUACAUUGAAGGCAGCCUAUACAAAGAAUUGAUCCCCACCUUCCUAAAACCAAAUAGGUUUAAGAGAGUCAGAGAGCACUUUGAUUCACUGAACUAUAUAUUUGUUUCCUUUUCAAGGUUUCUAUGAUCAGGCUCAUGAUGAAAUAACACCAGGAAAGUCUGCUCUCUCCUAAUAUGUGCAAACAAAUUCAGAAAUGACAUAUUUCAAAGAGAUUUGCUGGUUUUUCAUACUCCAAGAAAGACUUUGGCAUUUCCAUCCAGGUAUGUGGGUUGUUCAUGGCUUUUUCUUCCGAAUUAGUUGCUGGAGUGGUACCAAAACAGGUAUCUGCAUGCUUUUUGUACUUGUGACAAUUACUGUUUGGCUAAUUUCAUAUAUCACAGGCCUCAUUGGCUCAUGUCAUAAAAAGCCUGAUAUGUUAAAAAUGUCUUGUUUUUGGCAUGCCAUGCAUCUGUGUCCAUGCUGUGAAAUGUCGUCCCUCUAACCUGUAACAGAGUGUGAUUCCUCGAGCAUUUCAUGGUGCCAAGCUCCCCAUGUUUGGCUGUGGUGAGGCAUACACAGUGAGAAGUGCAUGCCUGUGGAAGGAGGACCCUCAUGUUCUAGUAUGAGGGGCAAUGUAGAGGCGUUAUCAGAUCAGAGUCCCUGAGUUCCGACUUCCCUUUUCAAGUGAGGGUUCUCUCCUGUUCUAGUCUCAUACUUUAGUACAAG
rnacentral:lncRNA from 1 species